rnacentral:tRNA from 1 species
GGAGGCGAGUGGUCUCUGGUGAGGCCCCCGGGCUUCAAACCCGGCCGAGAGGCGGCAUUGGCUGUCUUUGGUGAGUUCGAUUCUCACACGCCUCC